rnacentral:rRNA from 1 species
AAUGAACGUUGGCGGCGUGGAUUAGGCAUGCAAGUCGAGCGAGAACCCAGCAAUGGGGGACAGCGGCGAAAGGGACAGUAAUGUGUAGAUUAUCUGCCCUCGGGUCCGGGAUAGCUGCGGGAAACUGCAGGUAAUACCGGAUAACAUCUCCGGAUCAAAGGUGUGAUUCCGCCCGAGGAUGAGUCUGCAUCCUAUUAGCUUGUUGGUGGGGUAAUGGCCUACCAAGGCUUUGAUGGGUAGCGGGUGUGAGAGCACGACCCGCGUCAUUGGGACUGAGACACUGCCCAGACACCUACGGGUGGCUGCAGUCGAGAAUCUUCGGCAAUGGGCGCAAGCCUGACCGAGCGACGCCGCGUGUGGGAUGAA